rnacentral:rRNA from 1 species
UACGAACUGUGCAAACGUUAUUCGGAAUCACUGGGCUUAAAGGGUGCGUAGGCGGCUUGUUAAGUAGGGUGUGAAAUCCCCCGGCUCAACCGGGGAAUUGCGCCCUAAACUGGCGAGCUGGAGUGAGAUAGGGGUGUGUGGAACUUCCGGUGGAGCGGUGAAAUGUGUUGAUAUCGGAAGGAACGCCAGUGGCGAAAGCGACACACUGGGUCUCAACUGACGCUGAGGCACGAAAGCGUGGGGAGCAAACAGG